GACGAACGCUGGCGGCGUGCUUAACACAUGCAAGUCGAACGGAAAGGCCCUGCUUUUGUGGGGUGCUCGAGUGGCGAACGGGUGAGUAACACGUGAGUAACCUGCCCUUGACUUUGGGAUAACUUCAGGAAACUGGGGCUACUACCGGAUAGGAGCUCCUGCUGCAUGGUGGGGGUUGGAAAGUUUCGGCGGUUGGGGAUGGACUCGCGGCUUAUCAGCUUGUUGGUGGGGUAGUGGCUUACCAAGGCUUUGACGGGUAGCCGGCCUGAAAGGGUGACCGGCCACAUUGGGACUGAGAUACGGCCCAGACGCCAACGGGAGGCAGCAGUGGGGAAUAUGGCACAAUGGGCGGAAGCCUGAUGCAGCAACGCCGCGUGCGGGAUGACGGCCUUCGGGUUGUAAACCGCUUUCGCCUGUGACGAAGCGUGAGUGACGGUAAUGGGUAAAGAAGCACCGGCUAACUACGUG
rnacentral:rRNA from 1 species